AAUGAACGCUGGCGGCAUGCCUAACACAUGCAAGUCGAACGAAGGCUUCGGCCUUAGUGGCGCACGGGUGCGUAACGCGUGGGAAUCUGCCCCUUGGUUCGGAAUAACAGUUAGAAAUGACUGCUAAUACCGGAUGAUGACGUAAGUCCAAAGAUUUAUCGCCGAGGGAUGAGCCCGCGUAGGAUUAGCUAGUUGGUGUGGUAAGAGCGCACCAAGGCGACGAUCCUUAGCUGGUCUGAGAGGAUGAUCAGCCACACUGGGACUGAGACACGGCCCAGACUCCUACGGGAGGCAGCAGUGGGGAAUAUUGGACAAUGGGCGAAAGCCUGAUCCAGCAAUGCCGCGUGAGUGAUGAAGGCCUUAGGGUUGUAAAGCUCUUUUACCCGGGAUGAUAAUGACAGGACCGGGAGAAUAAGCUCCGGCUAACUCCGUG
rnacentral:rRNA from 1 species